GGAUUCCCUUUUUUGGUGGUAUCAAUUACGUUUGGUGUUGCCAAAACACACAUAAUUAGUUCCAGAUUUUGUCUUAUUCAAGGAAAUGCCUUUUACAUCGCUGUACUACUUCCGUGUGUUUUGAUUCUUGGUUUAAAUAUUUUGGUUCUUCUUUCCGUGUUAAUAAGAAUAUUAAGUUCUAACAAUAAAUGUUCUAAAGGUCAACGUCAGUCAUCUCGUGAGGUCCUAAAGUCGAUAAAGAUAGCUCUAGCAUUCAGCUCAUUGUUGGGGAUUACUUGGAUCUUUUCCAUAUUUGCAAUAGGGCCGUUGGCCAGUACGUUUCAGAUACUGUUUUGUAUAUUUAACUCGCUUCAAGGAGUAUUUCUUUUUAUAUUUUACUCAAUUAGCAAUAUACAAGUUAUUCGAUGUUUACGAGUAUGUCUACAGUUUUUGCUGUGUCAGCGAGCUAACAAGCAACAAAAUCCUAACAUAAAUGAUAUUCGUAAAGGUUCGACAACCGAUGUAAUUGAUAUGGUCAGAGUUAAAUAAAUAAUAUUAUAACUUAUUUUAUCAGCAAAAGUUGUGCUAAUUAAACACAAAAUGUUUAAUGUUUCAUUAAAACGGUUUUAAAUUAUUUUUACAAUAAAUCUUUUUAUUUUAUAAUGAUAAUAGUAAUAGAUAUAAUAGUAAUGUAUUUAAAUUA
rnacentral:lncRNA from 1 species